rnacentral:rRNA from 1 species
UACGAAGGGGGCUAGCGUUGUUCGGAAUUACUGGGCGUAAAGCGCACGUAGGCGGGUUGUUAAGUCAGGGGUGAAAUCCUGGAGCUCAACUCCAGAACUGCCUUUGAUACUGGCAACCUAGAGACUGGAAGAGGUUAGUGGAAUUCCCAGUGUAGAGGUGAAAUUCGAUAGAUAUUGGGAAGAACACCAGUGGCGAAGGCGGCUAACUGGCC